AUGGACACCUCUCAAUAGUGGACACUUUUUAAUUCCCCGUCAAAAAUGUAUGUACAUAAUAUGAGUUAUAGCCUCUUAAUAGUGAACGUAACCACUAAAAACUGAUACCAAAUUUAAAAAUUACCUCUUAUAAAUUAACACAUUACAUGCCCAUACCAAAAAUGUUCAAGUAAUAAAAAUUACUAUACACAUUUAUUUUAUAUACAUUUCAUUGAUAUUUUAUCUUAUCUUAUCUUAAGAAAACGUUAUCCCGCAUCUUCUUGUCUUCUGUCUCAGUCCAACUACCAGGGGGUAACAUGCAAAACAGUGCUUACACAGAAUAAGUAAAACUUGCUUAAUUUUGAUUUUAGAGUAAAAGUGCCUAUUAAGAAAUUCAUAGAGAACAAUAUUUUGAAGGGAAUGUCAUGGGUGUUUUUUGAUUUAUAAACUAUUGAAAAACAAAAAAAUAAAGGUUUUUAUAUCUUUUAUAACAAGCUUUUUAUUUUGAAAUAAUAUAACCUAUAGAGAACAUUUUUUAAUUCCCCAUGGAUGUCCACUAUACAGAAGUUUCACUGUAGGUUUUUGAAAAGACGUAUAUUUCAAUGCUGAUUGGUUUUACUAUGAUGUGUUUUUUAUAUUUUUUUUCUGUCCAUGGACAACUUUUCUACUUGUAAAACUUGCACCGAAGUAUAGACUUUAGCCCCUUUUCUGAAAGGUAAUUUUCUCUAGUUGAUACGUUAGGGAGCUAAUUUUUCCGACGGUUUUUUCUAAGCAAUUGGGAAAAUCCGAAAGAAAAUGAUAUGUAAUAUGGCAAAUAUGUACGGCAUUAAUGUUUUCAUUUUUUUAUUAUAUU